AUUGAACGCCGGCGGCAGGCUUAACACAUGCAAGUCGAGCGGGGUGAUGGUGCUUGCACUAUCACUUAGCGGCGGACGGGUGAGUAAUGCUUAGGAAUCUGCCUAUUAGUGGGGGACAACAUCUCGAAAGGGAUGCUAAUACCGCAUACGUCCUACGGGAGAAAGCAGGGGAUCACUUGUGACCUUGCGCUAAUAGAUGAGCCUAAGUCGGAUUAGCUAGUUGGUGGGGCAAAGGCCUACCAAGGCGACGAUCUGUAGCGGGUCUGAGAGGAGGAUCCGCCACACUGGGACUGAGACACGGCCCAGACUCCUACGGGAGGCAGCAGUGGGUAAUAUUGGACAAUGGGGGGAACCCUGAUCCAGCCAUGCCGCGUGUGUGAAGAAGGCCUUAUGGUUGUAAAGCACUUUAAGCGAGGAGGAGGCUCUUUUGGUUAAUACCCAAGAUGAGUGGACGUUACUCGCAGAAUAAGCACCGGCUAACUCUGUGCCAGCCGCCGCAGUAA
rnacentral:rRNA from 1 species